UGGGGAAUUUUGGACAAUGGACGCAAGCCUGAUCCAGCCAUGCCGCGUGCGGGAAGAAGGCCUUCGGGUUGUAAACCGCUUUUGUCAGGGAAGAAACGAGUUUCUCUAAUACAGAGACUUAAUGACGGUACCUGAAGAAUAAGCACCGGCUAACUCUGUGCCAGCAGCCGCGGUAAUACAGAGGGUGCAAGCGUUAGUCGGAAUUACUGGGCGUAAAGCGCGCGUAGGUGGUUUGUUAAGUUGAAUGUGAAAUCCCCGGGCUCAACCUGGGAACUGCAUCCAAAACUGGCAAGCUAGAGUAUGGUAGAGGGUAGUGGAAUUUCCUGUGUAGCGGUGAAAUGCGUAGAUAUGCGGAGGAACACCGAUGGCGAAGGCAAUCCCCUGGGCCUGCACUGACGCUCUUGCACGAAAGCGUGGGGAGCAAACA
rnacentral:rRNA from 1 species